AGCGAACGCUGGCGGCAGGCCUAACACAUGCAAGUCGAACGAACCUUUCGGGGUUAGUGGCGGACGGGUGAGUAACACGUGGGAACGUGCCUUUAGGUUCGGAAUAACUCAGGGAAACUUGUGCUAAUACCGAAUGUGCCCUUCGGGGGAAAGAUUAAUCGCCUUUAGAGCGGCCCGCGUCUGAUUAGCUAGUUGGUUGAGGUAAUGGCUCACCAAGGCGACGAUCAGUAGCUGGUCUGAGAGGAUGAUCAGCCACAUUGGGACUGAGACACGGCCCAAACUCCUACGGGAGGCAGCAGUGGGGAAUCUUGCGCAAUGGGCGAAAGCCUGACGCAGCCAUGCCGCGUGAAUGAUGAAGGUCUUAGGAUUGUAAAAUUCUUUCACCGGGGACGAUAAUGACGGUACCCGGAGAAGAAGCCCCGGCUAACUACGUG
rnacentral:rRNA from 1 species